GGACCUGUGGUGUAGUGGUGAUCACUCUGGAUUUUGAUUCCAGCAACCCGAGUUCGACUCUCGGCAGGUCCU
rnacentral:tRNA from 1 species